AUGGAAGAUGCAGUGCUGGUAUGUCUGAUGAAAAUACAAAUUCACAGAAUCAUAGAACUACCCGAGUUGGAAGGGACCAUAAGGAUCAUUGAGUCCAGCUCCAGGUUUACCUUCAGUUCUGCAUCACGUAUCUUCUCAUGGAGACUACAUCAGAAGAGAGUGCUUCAGUGCCUACAUGGCUGGGAGGCUUGUUGGUUUAUGCCUGCUGGUUUAUGCUUUGCUGGUUCAUCCCAUGGCAGGAUGGCAGAGGAAGGUGAAUGGAAAGCUGUUACACGGCCGCUGUGGAAAUGCUGAUUUCUUCUUUUCAUUUAUUCUCAGCCCAUGGGACUCUGAACUUAGUUUUCUCUUUGGAACAACCUCCCAAAACGAUCUCUGACCCUGGAUUUGAUGCUCCACACAUGGUUUUGUCACACCCCUGUGCUGUGCUGCCUGAGUGGCACCGAUGUGCAGUAAAGACCCAGCUGGCUGAGCACUUUCAGGACAAACAGAGAAGACAAUUUACUAUCUGAUUUUAUGAGAGCCAUUUGCACUUUGCAGAAUUUUUUAAGCAGCAAAACCCUUAAGAAGAGCGUUCUGAGCCUGGUACCUCAGAGAAUUGCACACACAUUUCCUGUCAGCAGCCGGAGAAUGGUGUCUCACACCUGCUAUGAAGAGAUUGAAAUAUAUUCUUAAUGGCUUGAUUGCUUUGCAUUUCCCUGGAGAUGGGAUGACACACUGUGGCGCAGUUCCUUUUCCACAAGGAGCAUCCUGAACAGCGUGGCAGAGCUGAUGCUUGCUCUUACUGAUGCUCCCUGGGAUUUAACCUGUGCUUAAGAUCUAGCUAUGCUCAUAGGGAUGCUCUGGGCCUAGGAGGCAGCAGACAUGAAUCAUAGGCAGUUGCAGGCACUGCACUAGGUCUAGUUUAAAGGUCAGCUGAUGGCUGGGAAAAAUGCCCAGAGGAAAACGUCCCUAAAACAGAUGCUUUGUUGUAUGCAUCAUCCUGGGCAGCGCUCUGGAAAACCAGCAAUGACAGAAGUUAAAACACAUUCUCCAGUUUCCUAGAGCCAUGUGGUUUGUCAGAGCAUCCCACCACUGCCAUGUGAGUGCUGCAGUGAUGCCAGGAGGACACCUUCCCACCUUGGCCAGGUAGAGCCAGCACACACCAGGGAAUGGCAGAACACACCUUCCCCUGCAUCUGCCUCUCUGUGAUGCUCCACACAAAGGCUGUCCCUAUCAGUGAUGAACCUGUUAUCACACAGCAAAUAUUCAGUACCCAACUACCAUCUAUUUCCAAGAUGCUUGAGCCUCUAACCUCUUUGAUGCAUGGGAAGGAGAUGCACUAAGGAUGACAGGCACUUCUGUAGGGUACUGUUUUAUUUCAGCAUCUUGAAGAGCUGCAUGUCACCAACCAUUAUCCUGUGGAGCUCUGUACCAGCCCACCCCACCAUGCAUCCAACACAUGGGAUGGUUUUUGUGUCUUGGUGAGAACUGGGAGCUUUCAUCCCAUGGGAACACAGUGCAGUCCCAUAUCAGACUGAUAUGAAAAGGAAACAGCGGUGUUUUUCUGCCUCAGAAUGUUUCUGUUUUUCAGACACCUGAAUAUAAACUCUGUAAAAAAGGGAUUAUAUUUGAUAUGUAAAUAUUAAUAUUUAUGAAAUAAAUCCCAAAGUUUCAACUCUUCUUUGGUUGUG
ensembl:lncRNA